GGCUGUCGCGCCCGCGAGGCGGGGCCAGAGGCGCCGCUGCCGUUGGGGUUUAGAAGGCCGCGGCGGCGGCUGCCAAUCAGAGCGCCGCAGCCAAUCAGAGCGCAGAGGGGGCGGGCUGAGGUGGGGGAGGGUCACGUGGGCGGCGGCCAUUUCGCGGCAGCGCCCUCCGCGCUCUGCCUAGAAACAAGGGCGGGGCCGGCGGGGGCCGCCGGCCAAUGGGGAGGCGGGAUCGCGGAGCGGCCAGCCAAUCGGGGGGCAGGAUUGCGGCGCGGCCAGCCAAUCGGGGCGGCGGGGCGCCGUCGUGCGAGGGGCCUCGUUCCCCAGGCACCAGGCUGCGUUGCACACGCGCUCUUGCACACUCACUGCCCAGGCUCCAUUGCACGUGUGCUCUUGCACACUCGCUGUCCAGGCACCAGGCCCCAUUGCACACAGGCUCUUGCACACUCACUGCCCAAGGUCUAGGCUCCCCAGGCACCAGGUUCCAUUGCACACGCACUCUUGCACGCUCACUCCCCAGGCUCCAUUGCAUGUGCACUCUUGCACACUCACUCCCCAGGCACCAUUGCACACGUGCACUCUUGCACGCUCACUCCCCGGGCACCAGGCUCCAUUGCACGUGCACUCUUGCACACUCACUGCCCAAGGUCUAGGCUCCCCAGGCGCCAGGCUCCAUUGCACGUGCACUCUUGCACACUCACUCCCCAGGCACCAUUACACACGUGCACUCUUGCACGCUCACUCCCCAGGCACCAGGCUCCAUUGCACGUGCACUCUUGCACACUCACUGCCCAAGCUCUCGGCUCCCCAGGCGCCAGGCUCCAUUGCACGUGCACUCUUGCACACUCGCUCCCCAGGCACCAUUGCACACGUGCACUCUUGCACGCUCACUCCCCAGGCACCAGGCUCCAUUGCACGUGCCCUCUUGCACACUCACUGCCCAAGCUCUCGGCUCCCCUGCCACCAGGCUCCAUUGCACGCGCACUCUUGCACACUCACUGCCCAAGGUCUCGGCUCUCCAGGCACCAGGCUCCAUUGCACGCGCACUCUUGCACACUCACUGCCCAAGGUCUCCGCUCCCCAGGCACCAGGCUCCAUUGCACGCGCACUCUUGCACACUCGCUCCCCAGGCGCCAUUACACAGAUGCACUUGCACACUCGCUCCCCAGGGCAGCGCCCGGGACACUCAUAGUCGUGCAAACGCCGCUGCAAGCCCGUUGCACGUGAACACCCUCAUGCGCACGCGCAGCUCCUCUUCCCCCCCCAGCGGUACCCGUCGUGCCCCGCGCGGCUGCGCAGUCAGAGGGAGGCGCGGGCGGUUGCAGCGCCCGCGCCGCGCGACUCUAAUCACGCGUCAUCACGCUCCGCUCAUCACGUGCUGCCCGCCGGAGCGGGGCAGGUCAGGAUAUACCGCACUGACGAUUCCCCCCCCCGCGCCAUCGCUCCCGAGGUCA
rnacentral:lncRNA from 1 species